CUGGUUCUCAAGAAAAGAAUUUAAGUCCAACCUAAAGCAAACUAAAUCCACAUAAAUUUACCCGCCGCUUUAGAGCAAUUCAAAUGAGGUACAGCCCAUUUGACACAGGAUACAACCUUAACUAACGGGUAACAUUAAAUCUACACCUUCAGGUAGGCCUAAGAGCAGCCACCCCUCAAAAAGCGUCAAAGCUUAAUCAUGUUUACAUCAAUUUAAAAUUUUCCCCAUUGACCCCUUUAACAUUACUGAGAAUUUCUAUAUCAUAUAGAACAUUUUAUGCUAAAACUAGUAACAAGAGAAAACCCUCUCCCAAUGCAAACAUAGGCCAGCAAGAACCCAUCACUGGCAAUUAACAAACCUAAACAAAAGUAGCAACAUCACUAGAAAACCCUACUUCCCACAACUGUUAACCUAACACCAGAGCAUUCCAGGAAAGAUUAAAAGAAAAAGAAGGAACUCGGCAAACACCAACCUCGCCUGUUUACCAAAAACAUCGCCUCUUGUCCCUAUAAGAGGUCAAGCCUGCCCAGUGACUUUGUUCAACGGCCGCGGUAUCCUAACCGUGCGAAGGUAGCGUAAUCACUUGUUUUCUAAAUAAAGACCAGUAUGAAAGGCAUCACGAGGGUUAGACUGUCUCCUUUUUUUAAUCAGUGAACCUAAUCUCCCCGUGAAGAAGCGGGGAUUAUUCUAUAAGACGAGAAGACCCUAUGGAGCUUAAAACAUUAUAACAUCUGCCACCAAACUCUAACCACUCAGGUACCCCUAUCAAUAUGGCACUUUGAUUUUAUGUUUUCGGUUGGGGUGACCGCGGAGAAAAACUGAUCCUCCACGAUGAAUGGGAACCCCCCUAAACAACAAGCUACAUCUUUAUGUAUCAACAAAUUGACAUCCAUUGACCCAAUAAUUUGAUUAACGAACCAAGUUACCCUAGGGAUAACAGCGCAAUCCACUUUAAGAGCCCCUAUCGACAAGUGGGCUUACGACCUCGAUGUUGGAUCGGGGUACCCCAGUGGUGUAGUCGCUACUAAAGGUUCGUUUGUUCAACGAUUAAAACCCCACGUGAUCUGAGUUCAGACCGGAGUAAUCCAGGUCAGUUUCUAUCUAUAAAUGAGCUCUUUUCAGUACGAAAGGACCAAAAUAGCAUGGCCUAUACCCCAGCAAGCCAUAGUUAGUCAUUUUUAGGCCCCCCACUCAAAAAAUUACCAACCUUACCUUACACCUCAAAAAAAGAACA
rnacentral:rRNA from 1 species